CAGCAGGCGCGAAACCUCUGCAAUAGGCGAAAGCUUGACAGGGUUACUCUGAGUGAUGUCCGCUAAGGGCAUCUUUUGGCACUUCUAAAAAUAGUGUAGAAUAAGGGGUGGGCAAGUCUGGUGUCAGCCGCCGCGGUAAUACCAGCACCUCGAGUGGUCGGGACGAUUAUUGGGCCUAAAGCAUCCGUAGCCGGUUCUGCAAGUCUUCCGUUAAAUCCACCUGCUCAACAGAUGGGCUGCGGAGGAUACUACAGGGCUAGGAGGCGGGAGAGGCAAGCGGUACUCAGUGGGUAGGGGUAAAAUCCUCUGAUCCACUGAAGACCACCAGUGGCGAAGGCGGCUUGCCAGAACGCGCUUGACGGUGAGGGAUGAAAGCUGGGGGAGCAAACCGGAUUAGAUACCCGGGUAGUCCCAGCUGUAAACGAUGCAGACUCGGUGAUGGGUUGGCUUCGAGCCAACCCAGUGCCGCAGGGAAGCCGUUAAGUCUGCCGCCUGGGGAGUACGGUCGCAAGACUGAAACUUAAAGGAAUUGGCGGGGGAGCAAAG
rnacentral:rRNA from 1 species